UACGUAGGGGGCUAGCGUUGUCCGGAAUCAUUGGGCGUAAAGAGCGCGUAGGCGGCCAGAUAAGUCCGGUGUGAAAGUCACAGGCUCAACCUGUGAAUGCCGCUGGAAACUGUCUGGCUAGAGUCCGGAAGGGGCGAGUGGAAUUCCUGGUGUAGCGGUGAAAUGCGCAGAUAUCAAGAGGAACACCUGAGGCGAAGGCGGGUUGCUAGGCUGACACUGACGCUGAAGCGCGAAAGCCAGGGGAGCAAACGGG
rnacentral:rRNA from 1 species